GUAGUACAAAUGGUAAGAAAAUAAUUAAAAUUUGAGUUGGUAACAUUUAUCUGCAGAGGACACCGUUUGAAACCAGGCUUUGUGUGUAUUCAUUUAUUUCAGGCUGCAACUUCCUGUCAGCAAGAUCUCCAAGCAGCUCUUCCCUCCAGUUGACAUGGGAACCAUAUCCGACAGGAACCAGCUACAUUUUAGAUAUCCGAAGGACAAACUCCGUAGAUACUCCGAUUAUUAUAUUAGGGCUUGACCAAAGGACAGAAAGGAUUGUGCAGGGUCUGUUACCUGGAACCGAGUACAAUGUGACCCUAAAAGUCUUUAGGUUCUACUUCAUAGACUGUAUGACCUCAACGUUGGCACGUACAGGUACAAUCAUUUGUUUUUCUGUGUUACAAGUUUAUUGCUGAAAUUAACACAAUUCAUGAGAUAAAUCAUGUAACGUAGAUAUGACAGAGAAUGCAUACAUUGUAUAAGUUGCCCCAAAUCCAGUUCCUGUCCAGUCAAAGUACACCUUUUCCUUUUUCUCUGCUGUGUCUCCCCAGUCCCUGACACGCCUCAGAUAUCGGAGGGAAGGCCAUUAUCCAGCUCUUCAAUCUCUGUAAGAUGGACUAAUGUGACUUCUGGGCAGUAUUAUGUACUGCAGGUUUAUUCUCAGACCACAGGGAAAAUGGUCAACUUCACCCUCUUCAACACCUCAACUGUAGUAAGAAACCUUCAGCCUUCUACCAACUACGACUGCUAUGUCUAUUCAGUUAACCAGGCCGGCUUUGGGAACAGAAGCCGAGUUAGGACCAUCACCACUUUGACGCCCCCUCCAGUAGGCGUUAAAGCAGUACAAACAAACCCAGUAACGGCAAGAGUGACGUGGCAGCCCGUGGACAACGUCCUCAUGUACAAAGUCGCCAUCCAGAACCUGGAUGAACCCACCAGCCAGCCCUCAGUCUACAAUGUCACAAACACCCAGCUGGACAUUGGAAACAUCCACCCCUGUACCAACUAUCUGAUAUCAGUGUCCUCAUAUAACACAUUUUUGGCUGUAAGCGAGCCCACAGACUACAUGUACACCACUAACAGUAAGUUGGCAGAGUCAAACCAAUAUCUAUAACUUGGUGAU
rnacentral:lncRNA from 1 species